CCGAGUUAGGGUUGCCUUUUUAGGUGCCCGACCUCCCAACCCUUUGUCUAUGAUACCUAUUGUUGCUUCGGCGCGCCCGAGGGGUCGUACCCUCGCCUGGACUCGUGCCGGGAGCGUGGCCGCCGAUGGCCCAAUUUAAACUAUUGAAACCCAAAACCUGUCGUCUGAAAACGUUAUGAUUUAUUAAUACAAAAACA
rnacentral:misc_RNA from 1 species